rnacentral:rRNA from 1 species
UGGGGAAUUUUGCACAAUGGGCGCAAGCCUGAUGCAGCCAUGCCGCGUGUGUGAAGAAGGCCUUCGGGUUGUAAAGCACUUUCAGCGGGGAGGAAGGCGUUAAGGUUAAUAACCUUGGCGAUUGACGUUACCCGCAGAAGAAGCACCGGCUAACUCCGUGCCAGCAGCCGCGGUAAUACGGAGGGUGCAAGCGUUAAUCGGAAUUACUGGGCGUAAAGCGCACGCAGGCGGUCUGUCAAGUCGGAUGUGAAAUCCCCGGGCUCAACCUGGGAACUGCAUUCGAAACUGGCAGGCUAGAGUCUUGUAGAGGGGGGUAGAAUUCCAGGUGUAGCGGUGAAAUGCGUAGAGAUCGGGAGGAAUACCGGUGGCGAAGGCGGCCCCCUGGACAAAGACUGACGCUCAGGUGCGAAAGCGUGGGGAGCAAACAGG